rnacentral:rRNA from 1 species
AUUGAACGCUGGCGGCAGGCUUAACACAUGCAAGUCGAGCGGGGGAAGGUAGCUUGCUACCGGACCUGGCGGCGGACGGGUGAGUAAUGCUUAGGAAUCUGCCUAUUAGUGGGGGACAACAUCUCGAAAGGGAUGCUAAUACCGCAUACGUCCUACGGGAGAAAGCAGGGGAUCUUCGGACCUUGCGCUAAUAGAUGAGCCUAAGUCGGAUUAGCUAGUUGGUGGGGUAAAGGCCUACCAAGGCGACGAUCUGUAGCGGGUCUGAGAGGAUGAUCCGCCACACUGGGACUGAGACACGGCCCAGACUCCUACGGGAGGCAGCAGUGGGGAAUAUUGGACAAUGGGGGGAACCCUGAUCCAGCCAUGCCGCGUGUGUGAAGGAGGCCUUAUGGUUGCAAAGCACUUUAAGCGAGGAGGAGGCUACUCUAGUUAAUACCUAGGGAUAGUGGACGUUACUCGCAGAAUAAGCACCGGCUAACUCUGUGCCAGCAGCCGCAGUAA